UGGGGAAUAUUGCGCAAUGGGCGAAAGCCUGACGCAGCGACGCCGCGUGAGGGAAGAAGGCCUUCGGGUCGUAAACCUCUGUCUAGAGGGAAGAAACCAUUGAGGUCGAACAGGCCUCUUUGCUGACGGUACCUCUGAAGGAAGCACCGGCUAACUCCGUGCCAGCAGCCGCGGUCAUACGGAGGGUGCGAGCGUUAAUCGGAAUCACUGGGCGUAAAGCGCACGUAGGCGGUGUCGUAAGUCGGAUGUGAAAGCCUGGGGCUCAACCGGGGAACGG
rnacentral:rRNA from 1 species